rnacentral:rRNA from 1 species
AACGAACGCUGGCGGCAUGCCUAACACAUGCAAGUCGAACGAAGGCUUCGGCCUUAGUGGCGCACGGGUGAGUAACGCGUGGGAAACUGCCUAUUGGUGGGGAAUAACGACGGGAAACUGUCGCUAAUACCGCAUAAGCCCUUCGGGGGAAAGAUUUAUCGCCGAUAGAUAUGCCCGCGUCCGAUUAGCUAGUUGGUGAGGCAAUGACUCACCAAGGCGACGAUCGGUAGCUGGUCUGAGAGGAUGAUCAGCCACACUGGGACUGAGACACGGCCCAGACUCCUACGGGAGGCAGCAGUGGGGAAUAUUGGACAAUGGGCGAAAGCCUGAUCCAGCAAUGCCGCGUGAGUGAUGAAGGCCUUAGGGUUGUAAAGCUCUUUCGGGUGGGACGAUGAUGACGGUACCACCAGAAGAAGCCCCGGCUAACUUCGUGCCAGCAGCCGCGGUAA